rnacentral:rRNA from 1 species
UACGAAGGGUGCUAGCGUUGUUCGGAAUCACUGGGCGUAAAGCGCGCGUAGGCGGCUUUGCAAGUCAGGGGUGAAAUGCCACAGCUCAACUGUGGAACUGCCUUUGAAACUGCAAAGCUAGAGUGUCGGAGGGGAUAGCGGAAUUCCUAAUGUAGAGGUGAAAUUCGUAGAUAUUAGGAGGAACACCGGUGGCGAAGGCGGCUAUCUGGACGACAACUGACGCUUAGGCGCGAAGGUCAGGGGAGCAAACGGG